rnacentral:rRNA from 1 species
AUGUAUAAGUUUAAUCGUUUAUCGAGAAACCGCGAACGGCUCAUUACAAUGGCCAUUAUUUACUUGAUCUUGAUUGUCUAAAUGGAUAACUGUGGAAAAGCUAGAGCUAAUACAUGCACUAAAGCUUUGUCCUUACGGAAAAGCGCAUUUAUUAGAACAAAACCACGCGGCUUCGGCUGCUUCUUGUUGACUCAGAAUAACUUAGCUGACCGCAUGGCCUUGUGCCGGCGGCGUGUCUUUCAAGCGUCCACUUUAUCAACUUGACGGGAGCAUAAUCGACUCCCGUGGUGGUGACGGAUAACGGAGGAUCAGGGUUCGACUCCGGAGAAGGGGCCUGAGAAAUGGCCACUACGUCUAAGGAUGGCAGCAGGCGCGCAAAUUACCCACUCUCGGCUCGAGGAGGUAGUGACGAGAAAUAACGAGACUGUUCUCUUUGAGGCCGGUCAUCGGAAUGGGUACAAUUUAAACCCUUUAACGAGUAUCAAGCAGAGGGCAAGUCUGGUGCCAGCAGCCGCGGUAAUUCCAGCUCUGCAAAUACAUAGAAUUAUUGCUGCGGUUAGAAAGCUCAUAGUUGGAUUCGUAUCGAUACCUUGGAACCCUUCGGGUGUCUCUAGGUGUUAUCGAUUUAUCGUAAUGUUCGGUUUUGAGUCCUUAACAGGAUUCUUAACAGGCAUUGCAAGUUUACUUUGAACAAAUCAGAGUGCUUCAAACAGGCGUUUUCGCUUGAAUGAUCGUGCAUGGAAUAAUAGAAAAUGAUUUCGGUUCAGUUUUAUUGGUUUUACGGACUGAGAUAAUGGUUAACAGAGACAAACGGGGGCAUUUGUAUGGUCCCGUGAGAGGUGAAAUUCUUGGACCGUGGCCAGACAAACUACAGCGAAAGCAUUUGCCAAGAAUGUUUUUAUUAAUCAAGAACGAAAGUCAGAGGUUCGAAGGCGAUCAGAUACCGCCCUAGUUCUGACCGUAAACGAUGCCAACUAGCGAUCCGCCGAUGGAAAUUAUAUUGCCUUGGUGGGGAGCUUCCCGGAAACGAAAGUCUUCCGGUUCCGGGGGAAGUAUGGUUGCAAAGCUGAAACUUAAAGGAAUUGACGGAAGGGCACCACCAGGAGUGGAGCCUGCGGCUUAAUUUGACUCAACACGGGGAAACUCACCCGGCCCGGACACUGUGAGGAUUGACAGAUUGAUAGCUUUUUCAUGAUUCAGUGGAUGGUGGUGCAUGGCCGUUCUUAGUUCGCGGAGUGAUUUGUCUGGUUUAUUCCGAUAACGAGCGAGACUCUAACCUACUAAAUAGUUGGUACAUACUCUUAGUGUAUACAGCUUCUUAGAGGGAUUUGCGGCGUUCAGCCGAAAGAAAUUGAGCAAUAACAGGUCUGUGAUGCCCUUAGAUGUCCGGGGCUGCACGCGCGCUACACUGGCAAAAUCAACGUGCUUGUCCUACCCUGAAAGGGGCGGGUAAACCAUUGAAAAUUUGCCGUGAUUGGGAUCGGAAAUUGCAAUUAUUUUCCGUGAACGAGGAAUUCCAAGUAAGUGCGAGUCAUCAGCUCGCGUUGAUUACGUCCCUGCCCUUUGUACACACCGCCCGUCGCUGCCCGGGACUGAGCCAUUUCGAGAAAUUUGGGGACCGUUGAUUUAAUUUUUCUAAAUUACUUUGAUGGAAACCAAUUUAAUCGCAGUGGCUUGAACCGGGC